AACAAACGCUGGCGGCGUGCCUAACACAUGCAAGUCGUACGAGAAAGGGUCCUUCGGGGCCUGAGUAAAGUGGCGCACGGGUGAGUAACGCGUGGAUAAUCUGCCCUUCAGUUGGGAAUAACUCAUCGAAAGGUGGGCUAAUACCGAAUAAUGCUGUGAGACCUCGGUUGAUACGCCAAAGAGAGCCUCUGCUUGCAAGCCCUCGCUGAAGGAUGAGCCCGGGUACCAUUAGCUAGUUGGUAGGGUAAAGGCCUACCAAGGCGACGAUGGUUUGCUGGUCUGAGAGGAUGAUCAGCCACACUGGAACUGAGACACGGUCCAGACUCCUACGGGAGGCAGCAGUGAGGAAUCUUGCGCAAUGGGGGCAACCCUGACGCAGCAAUGCCGCGUGAGUGAGGAAGGUCUUCGGAUCGUAAAGCUCUGUCGGAUGGAAAGAACCGCAUAGGGGUAAACAGCCCCUGUGUCUGACGGUACCAUCAAAGGAAGCACCGGCUAACUCCGUGCCAGCCGCCGCCGUAAAAC
rnacentral:rRNA from 1 species